CGGAGGUAGAGCACUGAAUUUCCUAGGGGGCGUCAAAGCUUACCGAAGAAUAUCAAACUCCGAAUGCCGUAAAGAUGAUUCUUGGGAGUCAGACUGCACGAGAUAAGUUGGGUAGUCAAAAGGGAAAGAGCCCAGACCAUCAGCUAAGGUCCCAAAGUGCGUGUUAAGUGGAAAAGGAUGUGGGAUUUCGAAGACAGCUAGGAUGUUGGCUCAGAAGCAGCCAUACAUUCAAAGAGUGCGUAAUAGCUCACUAGUCGAGAGGUCCUGCGCCGAAAAUGUAACGGGGCUGAAACACUGCACCGAAGCUGAGGAAUCGAAAGAUUGGUAGAGGAGCAUUCUAAACGGGACGAAGCAGUACCGGAAGGAGCUGUGGACUGAUGAGGAGAGAGAAUGCCGGAAUGAGUAGCGAGAUGAAGGUGAGAAUCCUUCAGGCCGAAUAUCCAAGGAUUCCAGGGUAAAGCUGAUCUGCCCUGGGUAAGUCGGGGCCUAAGGCGAGGUGGAGACACGUAGCCGAUGGAGAGCAGGUGGAGAUUCCUGCACUGCCGUAUGACAGAACUGUGGGGACGCAUGGGGAGAGCAUGAGCCGGGAGAGGGAAACCCGGUGGAAACAGCGGAGAUGAGGGGCAGGCAAAACCGUCCGUCAAGUCAAGGCUGCGAAGGAGCGAAAAGAAGUAGCGAAGCAUGCAAGACCGGUGCCGAGAAAAGCCGCUAUCGUUCAUACGGUACCCGUACCGCAAACCGACACAGGUGGAUGAGGAGAGAAUCCUAAGGCCAACGGGAGAAGGGUUGUCAAGGAACUCGGCAAAAUGACCCCGUAACUUCGGGAGAAGGGGUGCCACGGUAAAACGUGGCCGCAGAGAAUAGGCUCAGGCAACUGUUUAGCAAAAACACAGGUCUAUGCGAAACCGAAAGGUGAGGUAUAUGGGCUGACGCCUGCCCGGUGCUGGAAGGUUAAGAGGAGGGCUUAGCGCAAGCGAAGGUCUGAAUUGAAGCCCCAGUAAACGGCGGCCGUAACUAUAACGGUCCUAAGGUAGCGAAAUUCCUUGUCGGGUAAGUUCCGACCUGCACGAAUGGUGUAAUGAUCCGGACACUGUCUCAACCAUGAACUCGGUGAAAUUGUAGUAUCGGUGAAGAUGCCGAUUACCCGCAACGGGACGAAAAGACCCCGUGAACCUUUACUGCAGCUUAGCAUUGGGGCCGGGUGUGCGAUGUGUAGGAUAGUCAGGAGACUGCGAGACGGCCACGCCAGUGGUCGUGGAGUCGUUGUUGAAAUACUGGCCUUCGCACAUUUGGCUUCUAACCCGCUUGGAGCGGGGACAUUGCUUGGUGGGUAGUUUGACUGGGGUGGUCGCCUCCAAAAGCGUAACGGAGGCUCCUAAAGGUGCCCUCAGGCCGAUUGGCAACCGGCCGCAGAGUGCAAUGGCAUAAGGGCGCUUGACUGCGAGACAGACAGGUCGAACAGGAAGGAAACUUGAGCAUAGUGAUCCGGCGGUUCCGCAUGGAAGGGCCGUCGCUCAAAGGAUAAAAGGUACUCCG
rnacentral:rRNA from 1 species